CACGUAGGCACCAAGCGUUGUCCGGAUUUAUUGGGCGUAAAGAGCUCGUAGGCGGUUCAGUAAGUCGGGUGUGAAAACUCUGGGCUCAACCCAGAGACGCCACCCGAUACUGCUGUGACUUGAGUACGGUAGGGGAGUGGGGAAUUCCUGGUGUAGCGGUGAAAUGCGUAGAUAUCUGGAGGAACACCGGUGGCGAAGGCGGCAUUCUGGACCGAAACUGACGCUGAGGCGCGAAAGCUAGGGUAGCAAACGGG
rnacentral:rRNA from 1 species